rnacentral:rRNA from 1 species
CGAGCACGCGCGUGUGGCAUAUCAAUAAGCGGAGGAAAAGAAAUCUAACAAGGAUUCCCUUAGUAACGGCGAGUGAAGCGGGAAGAGCUCAGAUUUGAAAUCUUCAAGGUUCUACCUUGACGAAUUGUAGUUUAUAAGAAGUGUUUUCUGUUAGUGGAGUGGCUAAAAGUUCUUUGGAAUAGGACAUCAUAGAGGGUGAGAAUCCCGUAUUUGGUCAUUCCUCCUAGCGUUGUGAUACACUUUCAACGAGUCGGAUUGUUUGGGAAUGCAGUCCAAAAUGGGUGGUAAAUUUCAUCUAAAGCUAAAUAUUGGCGAGAGACCGAUAGCGAACAAGUACCGUGAGGGAAAGAUGAAAAGAACUUUGAAAAGAGAGUUAAACAGUACGUGAAAUUGUCAAAAGGGAAGCGUUUGACACCAGUGUUGUUUUUCCGAAAAUCAAUUACGAAUGUUUUGUUUUUAAGGAGUUAUGACUUCAUCGGCUUGCUCCUUUCUUUAUGAAACUUUCUUAAUGCACUUUUCGGUUAACAAGUCAACAUCAAUUUCUUUUGUUGUAAAAGGGUAUGAGGAAGGUGGCUUUCUUUUCGGAGAAAGUGUUUAUAGCCUUGUGCCUCUGCAAUCGGAGAGAUUGAGGUCUGCAGCGUAGAUCCUUCGGGGUUAGAUACAUUUGUGCUAAGUUAUAGCUUUUCAUAGACAACUUGUUGACUAUGUUUAGUCUUGUAGCUUACUCGCUUAUGCUAUUUUACCUACGCUUAGGAUGUUGAGCGCAUGUCUCUCUCU